rfam:Schistosoma mansoni strain Puerto Rico chromosome 2, complete genome
CUUACUUCUCAGUUCACUGAGCUAAGAUCAUUUAUAUUAUCUGUUCUUUGCAGUGUAAUUUCUGCAACGGUCUAUAAGCUUAGACCAAUGAAUUUACCUGAAUUUUUCGUCUCGAGACGAGUGCUGUGAGCUUGCUCAACCCCGUCCACAUCAUGAUAGAUAUUUUUGGAGGUUCUUAAUUAUUUUAAUGACAUAUUAU